rnacentral:rRNA from 1 species
AUGUGUACCCGCCCGUACGACAACGAGCCGUGCAGGUGGGCACCAGAAAGGCUGAAUUGCGGGCACGUCUUCCAUGGGCAGUGCAUCAAGCCGUGGGGCGCCGUCAACCUGGCUUGCCCAGUCUGCAACACAACCCACAUCCAGCUUCUUGGGAAGACGCCCGGCGACGCCAGGGCAGCAAGGCACCGGUACUCAUUCAGCCAUCUCGAGAGCUCGGUCACCACCAAGGAUGACAUCGCCGUCGGCAGCUCGAGCUUCCGGCAACGAGAUUGGGAUUGA